AUUCAAGGCGCAAACAGCGGCACUGAGUGGAGCAGCACGAAUAUCUGAGGACUUCCUGUUGAUAUUCCACCUGGAUCAAUCUCAAGACAACAUAUUGCUUGUAUGCAACAGGUGAACACAAGUUGUUUUCAGCCCUUGUUACCAAAUACCAGCUCUUGAGAGAAAAGACUGGCAGAGGAUGUGCUUAAAAACAAAUUCAAAAAAGAAAGAUCACCUUUGAUUAAUGUUGAAGAAAAAAUGACAUUUGUUGCAGGUUCAGUAAAGUAAGAAAACAGAUCAUUUUACCAGGAGUCCAUCAAAAAUAUUGCAACCAUUGUAGAGGUAGGUUUGCUAAAAAUAAUGUGCCACUUCAAUACUUACAUUUCUAUUAUCCUGUGAGAAUGUUUCAUGUAUAUGUUUAUUUAUUUAUUUUGCAGGAUCUAUCUGGUCAAGAUUUGUAUCAAAAGAGGUCAAGGUCAGUUACAGACAGAGUCUGGUGGCAUAAACAGAGAUCAACGAGCGCUAAAGAAGAGCAGCUGGGGGAGAUAUUGUUACUGAGCUGGAUGAAGAAAAACAAAUCUGUGUUGAUUUGGCACACAAAGGUAAUAAAUCACUGAUUUGCAUGAACAGUAAAGCUAAGAAUCACAAUGAUCAGAAAAAUAGUAGCCUAUGCCAUAUUCAAUUCAACAAAUUUUCUAUUAAAGAUGUCAGUGGUUGCUGCUGUCCUGCUGUUUCCACUUCUAUUAAAGCAGAGUCUGAGAUCUCUUUGUGUCAUCAGUAAGGUGAGUGUAUUUGUAUCCAUAAUAUCUAAAUCUAUAAUUUGUUCUUUUUCAACCCCUUCUCUUGGUUAUGAUUUCUUCUAAACAUUUGUUUUUAGAAUGGAAUUAUUCUAUGGAGCUAUAUAUAUAUAUAUAUAUAUAUAUAUAUAUAUAUAAUACAUUUCACAUUAACUACUAAAUAUUGUUAUAGUAUAACAUUAUUUUCUCCUUGUUUAGGAACCAGAUACACCCAAGCCUGUGCUGUUUAUGAAGGGACAUGCCUUGGAUGUGGAGUCUCUUUAAGAAAUAAUGAUGGAAGUGGAGGAGGAGGUCUGUGAAGUACA